rnacentral:lncRNA from 1 species
AAUAAUGAUAUAAAAAAUUAAACAAAAAUAAUGGAGUAGAGUUCAAACAAUACUAGAGCUGAGAUAAAAAAAAAGGUUAGGAGAUUUAAUUUAAAAAAAUACAUAUAUAUGCUCAUGUAGAAAAUGUUAACAAAAAUCGAUGCAAAAUCAAUUUACCUGCACAAAUAUAAUUGAAUACACCUGGAAUUGUAGUGGUUGGAAUUGAAUAAAUAAUCAAUUUACCUGCACCAAAAAUGAAGUGAGAUCAAAGCAAAAUCUUCAACUUCAGUUCAUAUUCUGAUUCCAAAUAUUGGUCAUACUCAUACGUAUAAGUUUAAAACAUAAAAAAGUAAGCAUUAACCAUAUAUAUAUAUAUAUAUAUAUAUAUAUAUAUAUAUAUAUAUAUAUAUAUAUAUAUAUAUAUAUAUAUACUAGGGGGGUGGCAGUUUGCCCAUUAUGUACGGAUAACUUUGAGGGCAAUGUAAGUUGGGGCUUGCAAGUUUUUAAACUGCUGUUCAUGGUUGGAUUAUGAUUGAUCCAAAUAAUGAGUUAAUCAUUUUCAGCAAAGCAGAACAAAAUAAUGUCUCCACAUAUCUACGAUAGAAAAUUAAAACCCAUAACUAAAACAUUGAUCAGAGGGCUCAGUUCAUAUCGAAGAAACACGAACCCAACCGAGUUUGAGCAUAUCAAACUGCAUUACGUGAAUACCUCGUCCCAAACUGCAUUAAAAUUUUCAGAUGUAAGUCUAUGUUAGCCUAAUCAAAACACCUGUUUUGCAAUGUAAAUAAAAUUUAUAUCAGUACAAAGCAUACACAGAAGAACUACCUAAGUGAGCAAACAUUGCAUGCUGGGAAUUUAAAUCAAUAAUAAGAAGCAAAUUAUUCAUAAUUUUCAAGAAUAUUGCGUAACAGUCAAGAAAACGCGACGAAAAAAACCGCAAUCUUUUUACGAUGACCUCAAGCAAUUUCGGAUUACUUUCAAGCUAAAAACAUUAAUGGUAUGAACAACCAUGAUAGAAUACUAAAUUUGCUUUAAAUGCUAAUAAGUCAAAAAAUCAUAUUCAAAAGAAAAAUAAAUUGCUUAAAUCCCAAUUAAGUCAUAAAUUAUAUUCAAAAGAACAACCUCCAGCUGUUGUUCCAGUUAACUGCAAUUAUAUAUGAAAAAAUAUAUGUAUAGCUCAUAAACAACAAAACAAGAAAAUAAGCUUGAAUUUCAGAGCAAAAAAAUGGGUUUUCGAGUUUUGGUUUUCUGAUUUCAGGUUUCGGAUUUUCGAGGUUUUGCUUUUCGGAUUUCGGGUUUUGAUUUCGGUUUAGUUUCGGUGAAUUUCAGAUCCACAAGGCAACUCCUACUAAUCGAAAAAUUUGACUCUCCAACUAAAAUUUGAAGGGCUCUACUCUAAACCACACUAUCCUUAUUGAAAAAGCAAGCCCAAAAAAAAAAAAAAAAAAAAAAUCACGAACAAGAAAAAUCAAAUUCUCCGAUUUUCACAUAUGCAUGAACAAGUCAAAAAUCAUAUUCAACUCAUGAUUUUGGUCAAAUUCUCUACCCUUUCUAAAUCAACAAACAAGAACAUAAUCACGAUUAUCAAAUCAACACGGCAAUUCCCACUUAUCGAAAAAUCUAAUCCUCCAACUAAAAAAAAAAAUCAUUUAUUGGAAAACAAAAAAAAAGAAAAAAAAAAAAAAACAAGCAUCUGAUUUUUCACAUACCCUUGCAUGAAUGAACUCUUCGAUUCUCCCUUCAUCGAACUGCCCCGACAAUUUAGGCCCGAAAGAGACUUAAAAGUCUGGAUUUCGUCUUCCCGAUUAAAGAAAAGAAAAGAUGGACAGAAAAUUAUGAAUAAUUUGCUUCUUAUUUUGGAGGAAAGUAGCUGUUAGGGGGAGGGGGGAGGGGGUAGCUGGGAAUUCUUGAGAUGGUCGACGGAAUUUCUGGAAGCGGAGGAGGAGGCGCGGCGGAGCAGGUGGAGGAAAGAUGCGGUGGGAAGCGACGCUGGCGGAAGAGGCGGUGGGCGGCGACCAGGGCGGCGGACGAGGCGGCGGCGGGAGUGGAAGUGGGCGGGAGUCAACGAUUGCAGGCCUC